UCAAACUUGGUCAUUUAGAGGAAGUAAAAGUCGUAACAAGGUUUCCGUAGGUGAACCUGCGGAAGGAUCAUUAUCGAAUUUGAAGGUCGGUCUUGGGUUGAGCUGGCUUUGCAGGUGCUCGCCCUCGUCGGUCUAAUCCCACACACACCUGUGCACCUUGAGGAAGCGGGGGGAAACCCUCGCGACCUCUUUUAAUAACGAAUGUCUACGCAUGUCAUUUUAAAAUAAAGUAACAACUUUCAACAACGGAUCUCUUGGCUCUCGCAUCGAUGAAGAACGCAGC
rnacentral:misc_RNA from 1 species